UACGGAGGGUGCAAGCGUUACUCGGAAUCACUGGGCGUAAAGGACGCGUAGGCGGGUUGUCAAGUCAGGUGUGAAAUCCUACAGCUUAACUGUAGAACUGCAUUUGAAACUGGCAACCUAGAGUAUGGGAGGGGGAGAUGGAAUUAGUAGUGUAGGGGUAAAAUCCGUAGAUAUUAUUAGGAAUAUCAAAAGCGAAGGCGAUCUCCUGGAACAUUACUGACGCUAAGGCGUGAAAGCGUGGGGAGCAAACAGGAUUAGAUACCCUGGUAGUCCACGCCCUAAACGAUGUUCACUAGUCGUCGGGAUGCUUGUCAUCUCGGUGAUGCACUUAACAGAUUAAGUGAACCGCCUGGGGAGUACGGUCGCAAGAUUAAAACUCAAAGGAAUAGACGGGGACCCGCGCAAGUGGUGGAGCAUGUGGUUUAAUUCGAAGAUACGCGAAAAACCUUACCUGGCCUUGACAUUGAUAGAAUUCUAUAGAGAUAUGGAAGUGCCCUUCGGGGAGCUUGAAAACAGGUGCUGCACGGCUGUCGUCAGCUCGUGUCGUGAGAUGUUGGGUUAAGUCCCGCAACGAGCGCAACCCUCGUUCUUAGUUGCCAGCAGUUCGGCUGGGCACUCUAAGAAGACUGCCUUCGCAAGAAGGAGGAAGGUGAGGACGACGUCAAGUCAUCAUGGCCCUUAUGGCCAGGGCUACACACGUGCUACAAUGGGGCGUACAGAGAGUUGCGAUACCGCGAGGUGGAGCCAAUCUCAUAAAGCGUCUCUCAGUUCGGAUUGAAGUCUGCAACUCGACUUCAUGAAGCUGGAAUCACUAGUAAUCGUAGAUCAGCAUUGCUACGGUGAAUACGUUCCCGGGUCUUGUACUCACCGCCCGUCACACCAUGGGAGUUGAUUUCACCCGAAAUUGGGAAGCUAACCUUCGGGAGGCUACCACUUACGGUGGAAUUAGCGACUGGGGUG
rnacentral:rRNA from 1 species